AUCCAGCUGACGAGUCCGAAAUAGGAUGAAACGCGUAUCAAACUGGAU
rfam:Schistosoma rodhaini strain Burundi genome assembly, scaffold: SROB_scaffold0000110